rnacentral:rRNA from 1 species
AUGAAGAGGGACCACCGCCACCGAGACGGUCCAUAUGCAAAAAAAUUUGGACCGCGGCCUCCUCGUGAUGUAAAAUGCAACACCUCGCGAUGCAAAUAUACAUCACGAGAUGCAUCUGGUCCAAAACUAGCCGCCGCCCGCGAACGCCCAACCGCCAUUUCAUUUCCGUUCCCGCCCGCCCGCGCCCGUUCGCCUGCCCGCGACCCUCCCGGCCGCCGCCGCCCCACACCGUCCGGCGCCGCCAUGGCCGAUGCCGACGACCCCGCCACCUUCUCCGCCGCCGCCGCAGCCGGUGGGUUGACCCACGUGGCUGCCGCCGCUGCCAUCCCGCCUGCAUCCGCGGCCAUGCCGCUGCCCCCCCGCUGCCGGCCCGGAUUGGCGCCGCCCCGGUUGGUGCCCACCACGCAGUCGGCGAAGCCGGCGAAGGGACGAGGAGGCAGCGUCAAACGGCCGGCCAACCGCAGCCGCAACCCGGCCGGUGAAGGUCUCAAAGACGGUCGCGGCGGCUCGGGGCGACGAGUCGCAGACGGUGCGGCCGGCGGCCUCCUCCAGCAGCCACACAUGCAUUCCUCCACCUCCCCCACCACCACCGCCGGCCGUGGAGGAAGAUGUGGCCACGCCGACGACCACCGCCUCCAACAUGUUCGACGAAAUGUCGCAAAGGGUUUCAUUGUCAAGGGAAGAAGUGGCAAUUAUAGCACCGCGGAGGAUGUGUUGAUAUGCACCGCUUGGAAGAAAAUCUCUCAAGAUGCAAGCGUUGGAAGCGACCAAACGGUGAGCACCUAUUGGAAACGCAUCAAGGAGUAUUUCGACGAGCGCAACACAAGUGGUAUCCUCCGUUCGAGCGACUCUCUACGCCAACGUUGGUCCACCAUCAACGCCAAAUGCUCAAAGUGGGCCGGUUGCUUGGCAAACGUUGCUCGCAUGAACCCAAGUGGUUGCGGUGAUAGUGAUUUGAAAAUGAUUGCACAAGGAUUGUUUCGGGAGAGGAACGUGAAAGGCGAGAAGAAGAAAAGGAAAGGAAAAGCUUUCACUUUUCAUCAUUGCUACAAAGAGCUCAAGGAUGUGGAGAAGUGGAAAACUAGAGAGACUUUUGAAUCGUCGAAGAAGAAGAGUGUGUUGGCCCGAUGGAACCAAGAAAGUGAAGGGAACCAAGCCGGAGACAAUGAUCUCAAAGAAGGAUUUGAUGCCAUUGUCAUGGCAAGGAAAGAGUAUGCCGAAGAGAAAAGAAUCUUGAAGCUCAAGGAAAUAGAGGAGAGGAGUGAGGCCGAGCGGCGAACGGCGGCGGCCGAGGAGAAGAGGGCGGCAUCCGAGGAGAGGAAGGUGGAACUAGAGGAGAAGAAGGCCGCGGCCGACGAGAGGAAGAUGGUAGAAGAGAGGACACUCAAGUUUAUGUUCAUGGACACAUCAACUAUUGAUGCCAAGGCAAAGGCAUAUGUUGAACUUUGUCGCGAUGAAAUGCUCAUGAAGAAGCAAAUGCUCAUGAGGCAAAUGAUGAUGGGAGGAGGCAUGGGAGGAGGCAUGGGAGAUGCCAUGGGUGGAGCCAUGGGAGGUUACAUGAACACGAUUGGAGGUGCCAUGAGUGGUGCAUUUGGCGGAAACAUGGGCGGUGGGUUCGGUGGCAACAUGGAAGGUGGCUUUGGCGGCAUGGGAGGUGGCUUUGGCGGCAUGGGAGGUGCUUUUGGCGGCAACAUGAUGGGUGGCUUGGGAGGUGGCUAUGACGGCAACAUGAGUGGUGUUGGAGGUGGAUAUGGCGGCAACAUGGGAUGCAAUGAAGAUGGUUCCGGUGGUGCUCACGGCAACGAGAGUUCACCGCUUGUUGAGAACGUCGACAAAGACGGUGAUGGAGAUGAUCAUCGUACCACGGUUCACAACACCGGUGGUGUUGAUGACCCAAAUGAGUGA